rnacentral:rRNA from 1 species
AACGUAGGAGACGAACGUUAUCCGGAGUUACUGGGCGUAAAGGGCGUGUAGGCGGUUUGUUAAGUCUGGCGUGAAAGCUCUCGGCUAAACCCGGGAGAGGUCGUUGGAUACUGGCAAACUUGAGGAUGGUAGAGGCGUGUGGAAUUCCGGGUGUAGUGGUGAAAUGCGUAGAGAUCCGGAGGAACACCAGUGGCGAAGGCGACACGCUGGGCCAUACCUGACGCUAAAGCGCGACAGCAUGGGGAGCAAACGGG